AUGGACUUGGGGCUUAGUUGGCUCUUCCUUGCCAUUGUUUUAAAAGGUGUCCAAAGUGAGGUUCAGCUUGUGCAGUCGGGAGGAGGCUUGGUGCAACCUGGAAAGUCCCUAAAACUCUCCUGUGUGGCCUCUGGAUUUACCUGCAGUAGUUAUUGGAUGAGCUGGGUCCGCCAGGCUCCAGGGAAGGCCCUGGAGUGGGUUGCAUAUAUUUAUAAUAGUAAUAGCAUCUACUAUGCCGACGCUGUGAAGGGCCGAUUCACCAUCUCCAGAGACAAUGCCAAGAACACCCUAUAUCUGGAAAUGGGCAGUCUGAAGUCUGAGGACACAGCCAUAUAUUAUUGUGCAAUUGCUCAUGUUCUCCCUCCUUCUGCUCCUCAUUGGGACUUUGGGAGCUUAGUCCAAUGCUACAGUGUGGGUCUCUGUCUCUAUCUCCAUCCAUCGCCAGAUGAAGGUUCUAUGGUGAUAUGCAAGAUAUUCAUCAAUAUGGCUAUCGGAUAGGGUCAUUUCAGGCUCCCUCAUCUCAGCUGCCCACAGAACUAGCUGGGGACAUCUCCCUGGACACCUGCGAGCCCCUCUAGGUUCAAGACUCUUGCCAACCCUAAGAUGGCUCC